rnacentral:rRNA from 1 species
AGAGUUUGAUCCUGGCUCAGGAUGAACGCUGGCGGCGCGCCUAACACAUGCAAGUCGAACGGCACCCAUCUUCGGAUGGAAGCGAGUGGCGAACGGCUGAGUAACACGUGGAGAACCUGCCCCCUCCCCCGGGAUAGCCGCCCGAAAGGACGGGUAAUACCGGAUACCCCGGGGUGCCGCAUGGCACCCCGGCUAAAGCCCCGACGGGAGGGGAUGGCUCCGCGGCCCAUCAGGUAGACGGCGGGGUGACGGCCCACCGUGCCGACAACGGGUAGCCGGGUUGAGAGACCGACCGGCCAGAUUGGGACUGAGACACGGCCCAGACUCCUACGGGAGGCAGCAGUGGGGAAUCUUGCGCAAUGGGGGGAACCCUGACGCAGCGACGCCGCGUGCGGGACGGAGGCCUUCGGGUCGUAAACCGCUUUCAGCAGGGAAGAGUCAAGACUGUACCUGCAGAAGAAGCCCCGGCUAACUACGUGCCAGCAGCCGCGGUAAUACGUAGGGGGCGAGCGUUAUCCGGAUUCAUUGGGCGUAAAGCGCGCGUAGGCGGCCCGGCAGGCCGGGGGUCGAAGCGGGGGGCUCAACCCCCCGAAGCCCCCGGAACCUCCGCGGCUUGGGUCCGGUAGGGGAGGGUGGAACACCCGGUGUAGCGGUGGAAUGCGCAGAUAUCGGGUGGAACACCGGUGGCGAAGGCGGCCCUCUGGGCCGAGACCGACGCUGAGGCGCGAAAGCUGGGGGAAGCGAACAGGAUUAGAUACCCUGGUAGUCCCAGCCGUAAACGAUGGACGCUAGGUGUGGGGGGACGAUCCCCCCGUGCCGCAGCCAACGCAUUAAGCGUCCCGCCUGGGGAGUACGGCCGCAAGGCUAAAACUCAAAGG